UACGGAGGGGGCUAGCGUUGUUCGGAAUUACUGGGCGUAAAGCGCACGUAGGCGGCUUUGUAAGUUAGAGGUGAAAGCCUGAUGCUCAACAUCAGAAUUGCCUUUAAGACUGCAUCGCUUGAACGUCGGAGAGGUGAGUGGAAUUCCGAGUGUAGAGGUGAAAUUCGUAGAUAUUCGGAAGGACACCAGUGGCGAAGGCGGCUCACUGGACGACUGUUGACGCUGAGGUGCGAAAGCGUGGGGAGCAAACAGG
rnacentral:rRNA from 1 species